rnacentral:rRNA from 1 species
GAAGCUUGCUUCCGAUAGGCGUCGACCGGCGCACGGGUGAGUAACGCGUAUCCAACCUGCCCAUCACUUGGGGAUAACCUUGCGAAAGUAAGACUAAUACCCAAUGAUAUUUAUAGAAGGCAUCCGAAAUGAAUUAAAGAUUUAUCGGUGAUGGAUGGGGAUGCGUCUGAUUAGCUUGUUGGCGGGGUAACGGCCCACCAAGGCGACGAUCAGUAGGGGUUCUGAGAGGAAGGUCCCCCACAUUGGAACUGAGACACGGUCCAAACUCCUACGGGAGGCAGCAGUGAGGAAUAUUGGUCAAUGGGCGAGAGCCUGAACCAGCCAAGUAGCGUGCAGGAUGACGGCCCUAUGGGUUGUAAACUGCUUUUAUAGGGGAAUAAAGUGAGCCACGUGUGGUUUUUUGCAUGUACCCUAUGAAUAAGGACCGGCUAAUUCCGUGCCAGCAGCCGCGGUAAUACGGAAGGUCCGGGCGUUAUCCGGAUUUAUUGGGUUUAAAGGGAGCGUAGGCCGGAGAUUAAGCGUGUUGUGAAAUGUAGAUGCUCAACAUCUGAACUGCAGCGCGAACUGGUUUCCUUGAGUACGCAUAAAGUGGGCGGAAUUCGUGGUGUAGCGGUGAAAUGCUUAGAUAUUAGGAGGAACACCAGUGGCGA